UGUCUUUAGGGGAGCUUCCUAUAGAAGCUGAGAGGUUAUUGUUCAUAACGACCCUUGACCUGAUCUAGAUAAUGCUAGCGAAGGGAAGAGGAUUUACU
rnacentral:ncRNA from 1 species